CUAGACCAAGUCUGGCACUCGGAUGACCAGGUCAACACCACUGAAGUCACGUGUGUAACUGAUGAUGUCACAGUUCAGUGGACAGUGGAUGCCCCGGCUAUGUGUUAAAGGGUUCUGUCCCUCUCAGAGGAAUCAUUGGAUUCAGCCUGAACGGAGAGGACACUCCAACGGUGUCACACAUGGAUGGGACAGCCCAGCCCUGGUUGGCCUGUGACAGUUUCCUUGGGGGCUGGAGGACUCACAUCUGGGAAGGGCAGAGUCCCCAAGGGCAGAGCUGAGAAAUGGACCUGUUUCCUGCCACCCAAUUUCCACUCGGCAGUGUGAUUUCUCUUUGUGUUUUCCAUAGUCUACCAUUUACACUGCUGCCACACCAUCCACAUUUUGGUAAACGUUUCUCGUGACCAGCUGACGUCAGGAGACCCCAGAACUGUGCGUAACACAACUGAUUCAUCUCCCCUGGCAGCGGACAUCUUGACCUGCCUCCGGAGCUUUGCUUUGUCUUCCGUAGGUCAAGGCGUUGGUUCUCUC
rnacentral:lncRNA from 1 species